rnacentral:lncRNA from 1 species
AGCAUUAUAUAAGGUAGCCAGGAAAAGUUUUUAAAGGAAGUAAUAUUUAACUUGAGUAAGUUAAGGAGUAGGGGCCGGAAGUCAGGACCCAAGAAAGAAGCCCUGGGCUUUGGCUGGUGGUGCGCCGGUGCCAGGAUUGCUCUGUUGUGUACACCGAUUUUUUUCUGCUCAUCUACCUGGAGACUCCAGAGAGACAAUAGAUCAAUAGCAAUUUCUUCCCUGCUGGAAAAUGGCCAGCUGCAGCUUCCCACAAGCAACCCAGGCUGCCAGGCGAGUUUGCAACGCGACCUCCCGUGGUGCCAAUGA